rnacentral:rRNA from 1 species
GAUGAACGCUGGCGGCGUGCCUAAUACAUGCAAGUCGAGCGAACGGACGAGAAGCUUGCUUCUCUGAUGUUAGCGGCGGACGGGUGAGUAACACGUGGAUAACCUACCUAUAAGACUGGGAUAACUUCGGGAAACCGGAGCUAAUACCGGAUAAUAUUUUGAACCGCAUGGUUCAAAAGUGAAAGACGGUCUUGCUGUCACUUAUAGAUGGAUCCGCGCUGCAUUAGCUAGUUGGUAAGGUAACGGCUUACCAAGGCAACGAUGCAUAGCCGACCUGAGAGGGUGAUCGGCCACCCUGGAACUGAGCCACGGUCCAGACUCCUACGGGACGCAGCAGUAGGGAAUCUUCCGCAAUGGGCGAAAGCCUGACGGAGCAACGCCGCGUGAGUGAUGAAGGUCUUCGGAUCGUAAAACUCUGUUAUUAGGGAAGAACAUAUGUGUAAGUAACUGUGCACAUCUUGACGGUACCUAAUCAGAAAGCCACGGCUAACUACGUG